GACGAACGCUGGCGGCGUGCUUAACACAUGCAAGUCGAACGGAAAGGCCCUGCUUUUGUGGGGUGCUCGAGUGGCGAACGGGUGAGUAACACGUGAGUAACCUGCCCUUGACUUUGGGAUAACUUCAGGAAACUGGGGCUAAUACCGGAUAGGAGCUCCUGCUGCAUGGUGGGGGUUGGAAAGUUUCGGCGGUUGGGGAUGGACUCGCGGCUUAUCAGCUUGUUGGUGGGGUAGUGGCUUACCAAGGCCUUGACGGGUAGCCGGCCUGGGAGGGUGACCGGCCACAUUGGGACUGAGAUACGGCCCAGACUCCUACGGGAGGCAGCAGUGGGGAAUAUUGCACGAUGGGCGGAAGCCUGAUGCAGCAACGCCGCGUGGGGGAUGACGGCCUUCGGGUUGUAAACCGCUUUCGCCUGUGACGAAGCGUGAGUGACGGUAAUGGGUAAAGAAGCACCGGCUAACUACGUG
rnacentral:rRNA from 1 species